rnacentral:rRNA from 1 species
GGCUGAAAUUCGCCUUCAUGAAGCCGGAAUUGCUAGUAAUGGCAGGUCAGCAUACUGCCGUGAAUACGUUCCCGGGCCUUGUACACACCGCCCGUCACACCAUGAGAGUUGGGAAUACCCGAAGCCUGUGAGCUAACUUUUAGAGGCAGCAGUCGAAGGUAGAAUCAAUGAUUGGGGUGAAGUCGUAACAAGGUACC